CAUGGCCAACUUGAUGCAUUGGUAUAAUGGUCAGUUUUAGGAGUUUAUGUGUGAUCAUUUCAUUAUGAGCGCAAAAGACGCGAUGAACCCUCCACCACAUGAGAUUAAACAGUCCCGCGAGACCUGGGAACUGCUCAAGGAUCUUGAUGAAGCAACAUCCCUUCCAUCAAGUUAAAAAUGUCAAUUGGAUGAAAUUGGAAUAAGUGAUUGACUGAUUGACACAACCAAUGCAUGGCCGACAUGAUGCAUCGGUUUCAUGGUCAGUUUUAUGAGGUUAUGUGUGAUCUUCUCAUUAUGAGCGCAAAAGAUGCGAUGAACCCUGUUCAACAAGAUGGGAAACAGUCCCGUGAGACCUGGGAACUGAUCAAGGAACUUGAUGAAGCAAUAUCUCUACCAUCAAGUAGAAAUUGUCAAUUAGAUUUAAUUGGGAUAAUUGGUUAACUGGUUGUCAAAAUCAAUGCAUAGCCAACUUGAUGCAUUGGUAUAAUUGUCAGCUUUAAGAGUUUAUAUAUGAUUGUCUCUUUAUGAGCGCAAAGGAUACGAUGAACCUUGUCCAACGUGGGGUUAAACAGUCCCGUGAGACCUGGGAACUGCCCAAGGAUCUUAAUGAAGCAACGUCCCCUCCAUCAAGUUAGAAUUGUCAAUUGGAUGAAAUUGAAAAAAAUGAUUGCCAAAUUGACACAACUAAUGCAUGACAAACUUGACGCUUUGAUAUAAAGGUCAUUUUUAGGAGUUUAUGUGUGAUGGUCUCAUUAUGAGUGCAAAAGAUACGAUGAAUCUCGUCCAACAUGAGGGUAAAUAGUCUCUUGAGACCUGGGGACUGCGCAAGGAUCUUGAUGAUGCAACGUCCCUUCCAUCAAGUAAAAAUUGUCAAUUAGAUGCAAUUGAAAUAAAUUGUUGACUGUUAGACACAACCAAUGCAUGGCCAACAUGAUGCAUUGGUAUAAUGGUCAGUUUUAGGAGUUUAUGUGUGAUCAUUUCAUUAUGUGCGCAAAAGACGCGAUGAACCCUCUACCACUUGAGAGUAAACAGUUCCGUGAGAACUGGGAACUGCUCAAAGAUCUUGAUGAAACAACAUCCCUUCCAUCAAGUGAAAAAUGUCAAUUGGGUGAAAUUGGAAUAAAUGAUUGACUGAUUGACAUAACCAAUGCAUCGCCCACAUGAUGCAUCGGUAUCAUGGUCAGUUUUUUGGGGUUGUGUGUGAUCUUCUCAUUAUGAGCACAAAAGAUGCGAUGAACCCUGUUCAACAAGAUGGGAAACAGUCUCGUGAGACCUGGGAACUGAUCAGGGAACUUGAUGAAGCAAUAUCCCUACCAUCAAGUUGAAAAUGACAAUUAGACGCAAUUGUGAUAAUUAGCUAACUGAUUGUAAAAAUCAAUGCAUAGCCAACUUGAUGCAUUGGUAUAAUGGUCAACUUUUGGAGUUUAUGUCUGAUUGUCUCAUUAUGAGUGCAAAAGAUAUGAUGAACCUCGUCCAACAUGGGGUUAAACAGUCCUGUGAGACCUAGGAACUGCCCAAGGAUCUUGAUGAAGCAUCGUCCCCUCCAUCAAGUUAAAAAUGUCAAUUGGAUGAAAUUGGAAAAAAUGAUUGCCAAAUUGACACAACCAAUGCAUGGCAAACUUGACGCUUCGAUAUAAUGGUCAGUUUUAGGAGUUUAUGUGUGAUCAUCUCAUUAUGACGGCAAAAGAUACGAUGAACCUCGUCCAACAAGGGGGUAAAUUGUCUUGUGAGACCUGGGGACUGCUCAAGGAUCUUGAUGAUACAACGUCCCCUCCAUCAAGUUAAAAUUGCCAAUUAGAUGCAAUUGAAAUAAAUGGUUGACUGAUAGACACAACCAAUGCAUUGGUCAGUUUUAAGAGUUUAUGUGUGAUCAUUUCAUUAUGAGCGCAAAAGACGCGAUGAAUCCUCCACCACAUGAGAUUAAACAGUCCCCCGAGACCUGGGAACUGCUCAAGGAUCUUGAUGGAGCAACAUCCCUUCCAUCAAGUGAAAAAUGUCAAUUGGAUGAAAUUGGAAUAACUGAUUGACUGAUUGACACAACCAAUGCAUGGCCCACAUGAUGCAUCGGUUUCAUGGUCAGUUUUAUGAGGUUAUGUGUGAUCUUCUCGUAAUGAGCGCAAAAGAUGCGAUGAACCAAGUUCAACAAGAUGGGAAACAGUCUCGUGAGACCUGGGAACUGAUCAAGGAACUUGAUGAAGCAAUAUCUCUACCAUCAAGUAGAAGUUGUCAAUUAGAUUUAAUUGGGAUAAUUGGCUAACUGGUUGUCAAAAUCAAUGCAUAGCCAACUUCAUGCAGUGGUAUAAUGGUCAACUUUAGGAGUUUAUGUAUGAUCGUCUCUUUAUGAGCGCAAAGGAUACGAUUAACCUCGUCCAUCGUGGGUUUAAACAAUCCUGUGAGACCUGGGAACUGCCCAAGGAUCUUGAUGAAACAACGUCCCCUCCAUCAACUUAAAAAUGUCAAUUGGAUGAAAUUGGAAAAAAUGAUUGCCAAAUUGACACAACCAAUGCAUGGCAAACUUGACGCUUCGAUAUAAUGUUUAGUUUUAGGAGUUUAUGUGUGAUAAUCUCACUAUGAGGGCAAAAGAUACGAUGAACCUCGUCCAACAUGGGGGUAAAUUGUCUCGUGAGACCUGGGCACUGCUCGAGGAUCUUGAUGAUGUAACGUCCCCUCCAUCAAGUUAAAAUUGCCAAUUAGAUGCAAUUGAAAUAAAUGGUUGAUUGAUAGACACAACCAAUGCAUGGCCAACUUGAUGCAUUGGUAUAAUGGUCAGUUUUAGGAGUUUAUGUGUGAUCAUUUCAUUAUGAGCGCAAAAGACGCGAUGAACCCUCCACCACAUGAGAUUAAACAGUCCCGCGGGACCUGGGAACUGCUCAAGGAUCUUGAUGAAGCAACAUCCCUUCCACCAAGUGAAAAAUGUCAAUUGGAUGAAAUUGGAAUAAGUGAUUGACUGAUUGACACAACCAAUGCAUGGCCCACAUGAUGCAUCGGUUUCAUGGUCAAUUUUAUGAGGUUAUGUGUGAUCUUCUCAUUAUGAGCGCAAAAGAUGCGAUGAACCCUGUUCAACAAGAUGGGAAACAGUCCCGUGAGUCCUGGGAACUGAUCAAGGAACUUGAUGAAGCAAUAUUUCUACCAAUGCAUGGUCAACUUGAUGCAUCAAUAUGAUUUUCAGCUUUAAGAGGUUAUGAGUCAACAAUUUGCAGAUCUGAUAAGAUCAUAAGACAAGGGAUUUCGAUCCAGACCUAAGAUUUUAUAGAUUAGAUAAGACCACUUAUCCAUGUUGAACGAUUUCUUGUUCAGAUAAGACCAUUGAUCUAUACCCACAAUUAGAUCCAAAUCUGAUGAUUUUUGAAUCAGAUAAUGCCAUUGAUCCAGACUCACAAACAUAUCCAACACAUAAAGUCAUUGAUUUAGACCCGUCUUCAUACACAUGAAAAAUUGGGGAAUGUUGCAAAUCAAGUUUUCUGUGAUCAGUAUUUUCCGGUUGGUAUCUUCUUCGUUGAUUUCUGGUUGAGGAUCUUUUUCGUAAACAAACUUGUUCUUUCAGGUGCUAUUAAUUGGGACAAUGUUAGUUUGGCAUUCCCUUUUGGAUCUUUAUGCUUUAACAACUUCAAUUGGGUUCAACGUUUGAAACCCUUCUUUUCAAAGUUAUGGUGCUCGCAUAAUGUUUGUCUUUUUGCUUACAUCAGUUCCUUUUUUUCGGGUGAAACAGUUUCACUUGUGGGCUGUCAUGGAAGUUUUCUGAGGGAUGUUCUCUUUGAUUUGGCAAAUAGGCUGCCGAUAUUUCAGUUUUUUGCUUGUACAUUUUUCUCUUGAUAUUGUUGUUUUGUUUCCAUAUCUGGAAUCCUUUCAAUCUUUAAUGCAAUUGUAAUCCGGGUUCAUGAGACUUGAAGUUACAGUUGUAAUUUACAACUUUAGUUUAUUCAUUAUGUUGAAUAAUUGAAGUGUUGGCAAUCCCAUCUUUUUAAUGGAUGCACUCCGAUUAAUGUUUGUGUGGAAUACAUGGUGCUAAGCCAUGUUCAAAUCUGUUGUUGGUUUCUGCUAAUAUUGGCCUCUAUAUUUAAAACAUCAAGAACAAUGGACUCGGUGGGAUUCCUUCUAGUAGUAUGAAGAUGAACAUCUGCCUUUGGAUAAGGGCACAGUGCCUCAUACAUUCAUUGCUUGUACAUCGUGUUAGUUCUUCCUUUUGCAUAUGUAUCGAUAGAUGGUUUUUAUUGGUCGCUACUAAUGUUGCCCUCUAAUUAAAGCUUGAUGAACACUGAACUCAGGGUUCCUUCCAAAAGUACUCUAGUGUGAUCUUCUUUUGGGUAAAGACGCCAUGUACUUAAAUGAAUUGCUAGUUCUUUGCUGCUUAUUUCAGCUUGAGUUUUUAUUACAAUGAGUUCGUAGUUUGUUUUUUAUUAAAACUUUGGUUUUUAUUGCACUACACAUACUUUCACUUGUUUUUUUUAAUUGUUUGUAGCAAAUUUUGAAGUGCAUGCAUUCUUCUAUAUUCUUUUCAUGUUGUAUGGUUAUAAUUUUUUUCUGAUAUCAUUUAUUAGCAAUUCUUUUGGUACUGCCAAACUAUGGGCUAGCUCUACAUUUGUGACAAUGUUAGAGAAGGUUUUAGUUACUGAAAGCAAAUUUUUGGGCCUUGUUGAUUGUCCAUCAAAGUUUAGGCUGUUUGAUUUGGCUAUAGAAUGUUUGGAUGAUAUGCUUUUCAGCACAAGUUAAAAAAAAUGGUUCUCUGUUGGUUAAAUGCACAAGGCUUGUGAAGGAUAUAUCUAGUCUACUACUGGUCAGAUUGCAUGCCUUCUUGUUUCUUGUUCAACCAUUAUUCAUCUUAAGCCAUAUAUAUAUCAUUGUCUUUUUGUAGCUCUUGUUUAGUCGCUCUACGCUCUUCCAUCUCAAUAAGAGCAGAGUUAGAUUCCUAAGCUGAAGAGUUCUUUCUAUUUUUCUUUCUUUCCAUUCUUAAGUGCUGCAUUAUGUAGAUAUACUAUAUUGGCCAGUUAGUUUAUAAAACUAUUUUUUUGGUCCCAGCGGCUUUUGAUCUUUAUGUCACUAUUCUACAGAUCAAGUUACAAUAAAAAGCCCCACAACUAUGCCUUUUUUGAAACACAAUCAUUUUACAGUACGUUCAUCAUUUAGUCUUGAUAUUGAAAGGUAAGACAUCAAUUGCAUUUUCAACUGAAACAUGGGUUAGCAAAGCUAGUGGGGUUUGGUGGUUUUGUUAACCAUUGUGGUAUCUUUCGCUUGAUACUUUAACCUAUGAAAAUGUUGGUUUAGGGCAUUGUUCACUUCUGCCUUUACUUUUAGAAACACACCUAUUUUCUGCAUUGCUCAAACAAAAAUAAUCUUUUCCCAACUAACCGUAGGCUAUCACAUAAUCUGGUGUAUUCAAUGUGAUAAAAGAAGUACAAUAUUAAAACAAAUUGUAAGAUCAUUUGUUUGUCUCUGAACAUUGGAAGUUAUAUGCAACCAUAUGCAAUUUAGUUGAUUUCUCUUUUCUAAUCAGUGAGGUGUAACCUUGUUUAAUUGUUUUCUUGUUAGCAAUUCUAGAAAGUUGUAGGCUUUCGAUCGCCUACAGGUGCGAGCUUUGUUGCAACUCCGUUCAUUCUACCGUAUCUAUUUUCUAGAUUCCACGUUCUAGAUCCAAAUUUAUGUAAUCUGAACAAAUAAAAUAAGGUAAUAUGGCUCUUUUUUCUAGUUUCCAAAAGCCGAUCUUUUUAAGUGACAAUCAUAUUGAUAUUGGUCUUCUCUUGUAGAGAUCCCUAUCGAUAUAGGUAGCCACAGCUUUUAGACGAGAGAAAUGGAGAGAGAGUUCAAAUAAAAUCGAACUUGACUUUUAUGGUAAACCGUAAGCAACAAGAUAAGUCCAAAAUUUUCCAAAGUAAUCUUAAAAAGACUAUCCGUGUUAUUCAUUAAUGGAAAGGAAGGAAAUCAAUUUAAGAAACCCAAAAUGUUAACCCAACGGUCAUGGUAAUUUGCUUUCCUUAAAAUGUAAAUCCAGACAAACUUCCAAGGUCCCUCUCGAUGAAACACUCCUCUCCCUUUCCUCUCGAUUAAAGCUCUCAACCGCAGGCUGCGUCUCCCGUCUUCUUCUUCAACUGCAAUGCCACCUCCGAGCUCCCUCUCUUCUUCAAGCGCUGACCUGCGGAACGAAGGCGGUCCAGCCCUAUUCGCUGGUCGGUGUUCUCAUAUGAGGUCUUUGAAACAUCCUCUUCUCUCUUUCUUUGGCUAGGGCUCUGCGUCUGCCAUGGCCAACGCAGCUCUUGUCUCCCCAAGCCCCAUGUUUAUAUGGGGGGAGUCUAAGAAGAUGCUGACAAUUUCGGGGUUGACUUCCUGGUCAUUUGAGAGAAAUAAGAUGCAGAUUAUGCCCAAUAUGUUGAGGUACCACACCGGAAUUGCUCAAGAAGGACAAUGCCUUAGAUUGUUGGAUUAAUUUGGAGAAUUCAUCAAGAUAAGUUUUUAUAUACUGAAUGCAUAAUAUAAUGUUUCUUGGGAGUGUGGAAUCUGACAUAGUGAGAGGGGAUGGAGAGGGGAGAGGGAGGAAGGAACCGGUUCUCUUGGCCUCCACAAUGAUACCCAAGAUCAAAUAUAGUCGGGAUAUGUUUUUGCCAGUGAUCAAUAAUAUAGUGGUCAGGUCCAGGUUUUAAACCAUGAGGUUGACCGGUUAUUGCCACCUAGAUAUAUAUGUUGUAUAUACUUGAAGAGUUGGAUCUACUCACGUCAAACAAUUCAAGUACAUCUAUCCAACCAGUAGGCCUUGUGACUACUUAACUUUCCAUUCCUUAGUACAAAUACUCUACUCACAGAGGGGUUAAUCUGCCUAAAGUGCAGUCUUGGGAUCCUGUCCUGGUGUUCAUGUUUGGUUGAUGAAUGGGACUCAUACUCCCUUGUUCAGAUCUGCUAGAGAACAAGGAGGACAAGACUAAAGUCUGUCCACAUCUGCUGUAGGCGACAAGACUUCUCUGGGAUAUCGAGAAUCAUAUUUCUUUAAGAAAAUUGAUCUCAGAUGAAUAAUGACAUCUUGUUAGGUUUUUAACUUGAAAAUUUUGGAUCAAAGGAAAUUAUUGCAAUGACGGGUUUCAACCUCGUUUCAACCUCAAUGUGAUAACGCGGAUAAAGGCACUUUGAACUCCAGCCAUCUUUUUUGAGAUUCAGCUGCUGUUUUGAUUGCCACUGGUCCUCCUCCCCCAACAAACGAACUUGCACUUUGAGAAUCCGUCCAUCCUAUUGCUAAGUUGAUGAUUUUGACAAGAAAAUUUUUAUGGUUUGUUUAAGUAGGAUUUUGGAUUUUUUGGCAGCUCAUGGCAAAGCGUGUGAACAGCAUGAAUUCGUGCAGAAAAAAAAAAGUCAAGCAUUAAAAAGCAGGGCAAUCCUAAAGGGAGAAAAGGGGAGGGGCUUAGGCCUUUUCGGCAUAUCUCCCCCCACAUUGAUGGGUGAUUGCUUUCAUAGCAACUCCUGCUGGGAGAUGUAAGUACAGUAGCAAUUCUUUGUUGGAACGCAUUCGGUUGUGACUUGUGAGAGACGACGUUAGGGGUCCUGCUAAUUGUGACUGAUUUCUUUGGAAAGU